rnacentral:rRNA from 1 species
CACGUAGGGCGCAAGCGUUGUCCGGAAUUAUUGGGCGUAAAGAGCUCGUAGGCGGUCUGUUGCGUCCGCUGUGAAAACUCGGGGCUUAACCCCGAGCCUGCAGUGGAUACGGGCAGACUAGAGGUAGGUAGGGGAGAAUGGAAUUCCCGGUGUAGCGGUGAAAUGCGCAGAUAUCAGGAGGAACACCGGUGGCGAAGGCGGGUCUCUGGGCAAUUCCUGACGCUGAGGCGCGAAAGCGUGGGGAGCAAACGGG